AGCAGCAUCUUUGAGCGCUGAGCUAGAGCAGGGAGAGGGUCGCCUGGGGCAUGCCUCAGCCAAAAGGGCGUGUCCGUGUGCGAAGGUGCCCCCCGGCAAGCUUGUCCAAGCUCGUGACUUCGCAAAUCUCUGGCCUGGGGCGGAGCUGGAGCCCCACCCGCGACCCGCCGAGCUGCUCAGCAAGCAGACAUGGAAACCUUGCUAAGGAAGGGGCGGGGAACAGGGGGCUGGGUCCCGGUGGAACUUUCUGAUUACAAGUGUUGUGGGUCUCUGAGGAACCCCUAUUUUCUUUUUGGAUUCUCCGCGAAGAUGUGGAGAAGCAGGCUGGUAAUGAGAUUGGUUGCACUGUGGCACAGAGCUGGAACCUUUCUGAAAGAGGCUGGGGCAGGCAGUGACUGUUCAGAUGUCCAGUUUCUUUGGGACACUUCUCCAGCGCUGCCUUCCCUACCUCUGCCUUUGGAAUGAGUCUCAAACAUCAACAAAAAUCAAGAUAUGUUCUCAGUCUCGGGUCUGCAGCAGAGUGAUGAGAGGAAGAGAAAAUCCUCCACUCUUCUUGUCUGUUUAUAAUGUUAAUGGACCAUAAAGCAAUGUGGAUGGGUCCCCUCCUAGCGAGGAGCAAGCAAUCGCUGGCUCGAUCCCUUCCAUCACGCCGGGGCAUUCCCGGGGCAAGCGGACUUAGCAGGAGUUUAAGGUGUUCCUUGGAGCCGGAAAAUAUGGUCCAUCGUGGUGGAAGGCAAGGGCAGAGGCUCGAGAACUCAACCCUAGCUGUGAGCGGACCUCUUGGCUGUGCAGUUUGCUUUUCUUACUCUUUGGAGGCUGCGGGUUCCUUGGGUGCUUCCAAGGUGGGAGGAGAAAGCCUGGGAAGAGAGUGAUUCAGGUUCCCAGAAGGUUACCAAGGCGGAUAGACUUUAAGACCAGUUUUCCUCCCUUGCGCGUUGCCGGUUGAUUUUGCUUGAGGGAAUGGCUGCGAAGAAGACUGAAUUCCAGAGAAGUCGAAGCUGCUGGAGAAAUGAAAGCAUCUCUUUCUUAUGGGGUUCCCGGGACCCAUUCUAAGCUCAGCAGCGCCCAGACACUUUCUUCCUCUGGAGUAUUUGUCAUUCACCUUUCAGGACUUGAGGUCUCUCUACUGGGUCCUUGCCUUGAAGAGCAAGCUGAACCCCCUGAGAAACUGCAAGAACCCUGGAAAAACAGCCUUUCCCAUUUUAGGUCUUUCCCUUUCUUCCAGCGCUAGAUCUAUAAUGAUAGAUCCCCAUGCCAGACCUCUCUUUUCCUCUCCCUGUCCUUAUGUGUCUGCCCCCUGAAUGAGUCCCAAGCAAUCUAGACUGAUAGCACUUGUAUUGUAGCUAUGUUGAUAAGAGGGGAAACGGGUGUGGUCCUGUUCAGACUCCUGGGAAUGAGCCCAUUUAUCACAAUGGGGUGAAGAAGCAAAAAGAAGCUGUCUUUGCAGGCAACAUUCUGUCACUACUAAGAAAACUAACUAUGUAACUAACAUUCUUUCCUUCAUUGUUCCAAGAACUGCCUUUCUUAGGGAUCCAUCAGUUGGUGAUUAAGGGCUUUUAAAUAUUGUGCUCGUUAAGUAUCUAACCACAUUCAGUGUGUCUAUGGGUGCUGUUGUUUCCCUGGAAAUUAAAAAAGUAGAGAGAA